rnacentral:misc_RNA from 13 species
AUCGCGGCCAAUGCGCCCUGCUCCACGCUGUUUGUGGCCAAUCUGGGGCAAUUCGUCUCGGAGCACGAGCUGAAGGAGGUGUUCUCUAGAGGAGCGGGUAUGGAAUCACGGCAUGAUUUGCUCGCUAAAAAGCUAGAGCGCGAAAUGCAGCAACAGCAGACGCAAGUGCACCACCAG